GACGAACGCUGGCGGCGUGCCUAAUACAUGCAAGUAGAACGCUGAAGAGAGGAGCUUGCUCUUCUUGGAUGAGUUGCGAACGGGUGAGUAACGCGUAGGUAACCUGCCUUGUAGCGGGGGAUAACUAUUGGAAACGAUAGCUAAUACCGCAUAACAAUGGAUGACACAUGUCAUUUAUUUGAAAGGGGCAAUUGCUCCACUACAAGAUGGACCUGCGUUGUAUUAGCUAGUAGGUGAGGUAACGGCUCACCUAGGCGACGAUACAUAGCCGACCUGAGAGGGUGAUCGGCCACACUGGGACUGAGACACGGCCCAGACUCCUACGGGAGGCAGCAGUAGGGAAUCUUCGGCAAUGGGGGCAACCCUGACCGAGCAACGCCGCGUGAGUGAAGAAGGUUUUCGGAUCGUAAAGCCCUGUUGUAAGUCAAGAACGAGUGUGAGAGUGGAAAGUUCACACUGUGACGGUAGCUUACCAGAAAGGGACGGCUAACUACGUG
rnacentral:rRNA from 1 species